UGUAAUAGAGAGGGGCUGUGUGUAUGUGUGUAACAGAGAGGGUUGUGUGUGUCAGUGCAGGGCCCCUGAGCUGUAGUUGGUGAGUGAGAGAAGGACACACUGAGGCUCCCGGGCUGUGUAAUGAAUGGGUGAGUCCAUGUUCCACGUGAGUCUGAUGUGUUCCUAUUGAUUGUGUCUCUAGACAAAUGCGGAGCUUGUGCUUUGCAGUCUUGUCGGGGCUGCAGUGAAGCCGAGCUGAGGGAUGUUGCUGCUGCUUUAAUUCAGCGUCACGCCAACUUUCAUCAAUAACCCCCCUACCGGUCCAAUUGGAAGACUCUCUUUUUUUCCUUUCUUUCCUUCCUCCUCUUCCUUCCUCUUUUUCCUCCGGCACCAUCACAGACAAGUCCCCGGCUUUCUAUCGUAAGGAGAAGAAGGAGUGAUUUGUACUGGGAUCCACAGCAGCAGCAGCCGCCAAUGGAACUGUCCAGGGUGCUGUAAGGAGAGAGACAGAGGGAAAAGCUGAGUCUUCUUCACUCCAGACCCCCGGCGGCAAAGGGCUCAGUUUCGUUUUAGAAAUUGAAUUGGUAACGCUGCAAAUGGGGCAAAACGAGGCGCGGACUGUGUUCCUCCUGCUGCUGAGCAUUGUGGGUGAGAGCCGAGGAGGGUUCCCCAACACUAUCAAUAUCGGUGGACUGUUCAUGAGAAAUACAAUACAAGAGCACAGUGCUUUUUUAUUUGCCGUGCAGCUGCACAACACCAACCAAAACAACACAGAGAGGCCGUUCCAGCUGUUCCACCAUGUAGACCACUUAGAUUCGUCCAACAGUUUCUCUGUGACCAAUGCAUUUUGUUCACAGUUUUCCAGAGGAGUCUACGCCAUCUUCGGAUUCUACGACCAAAUGUCUAUGAACACUUUGACGUCUUUCUGUGGAGCCCUCCAUACAUCCUUUAUCACCUCGAGCUUCCCAACAGAUGCAGAUGUCCAGUUUGUCAUUCAGAUGCGGCCACCACUUAAAGGAGCCAUUCUUACCCUUCUUAAUGAAUAUGACUGGCAAAAGUUUGUUUAUCUCUAUGACACAGAAAGGGGAUUCUCCAUUCUUCAGGCCAUUAUGGAAGCAGCCGUACAGAACAACUGGCAAGUGACAGCCAGAUCAGUGGGGAAUGUAAAAGAUGUUCAAGAGUUUAAACGCAUCAUAGAGGAAAUGGAUCGGCGUCAGGAGAAGAGAUUUGUGAUAGACUGUGAAGUUGAGAGAAUAAACACAAUUCUGGAGCAGGUUGUAAUCCUCGGCAAACACACAAGAGGCUACCACUAUAUGCUGGCUAAUCUGGGCUUUACAGGCAUUGCGCUGGAAAGAGUGAUGCACGGCGGAGCCAACGUGACCGGCUUUCAGAUUGUGAACAAUGAAAACCCAAUUGUGCAGCAAUUUUUACAGAGAUGGGUUCGACUGGAUGAAAGGGAGUUCCCUGAAGCAAGAAAUGCACCACUAAAGUAUACAUCUGCACUAACCCAUGAUGCAGUCUUAGUUAUAGCAGAAGCUUUUAGAUACCUGAGAAGACAAAGGGUAGAUGUCUCUAGAAGAGGGAUUGCUGGAGACUGCCUCGCAAAUCCUGCUGUGCCCUGGAGCCAAGGAAUAGACAUAGAAAGAGCCUUAAAAAUGGUACAAGUGCAAGGAAUGACCGGGAAUAUCCAGUUUGACACGUACGGAAGGAGAACUAACUACACGAUUGAUGUGUAUGAAAUGACUCCCACGAAACCUCGAAAGGUUGGACAUUGGAAUGAAUAUGAGCGCUUUGUGGCAGUUCCUGAUCAGCAGCCUACAAACGAGUCUUCCUCUGUGGAGAACAAGACAAUUGUCGUGACAACAAUAUUGGAAAACCCCUAUGUCAUGAAAAAGAAGAACCACGAGCUGUUGGAUGGAAAUGAUAGGUAUGAAGGAUAUUGCGUGGACUUGGCCAGUGAAAUUGCAAAGCAUGUUGGGAUAAAAUACAAGCUGUCAAUAGUAGAAGAUGGUAAAUACGGUGCUCGGGAUCCAGAAACUAAAAUAUGGAAUGGAAUGGUGGGUGAACUUGUAUAUGGGAGAGCAGAUAUCGCCGUGGCCCCGCUCACGAUUACUCUGGUACGGGAAGAAGUCAUUGAUUUUUCCAAACCAUUUAUGAGCCUUGGAAUCUCCAUCAUGAUUAAGAAGCCUCAGAAAUCUAAACCAGGAGUUUUCUCCUUCCUGGAUCCAUUGGCCUAUGAAAUAUGGAUGUGUAUAGUCUUUGCUUACAUUGGCGUCAGUGUAGUUCUCUUCCUAGUUAGCAGAUUCAGCCCUUAUGAAUGGCAUUUGGAGGACACUGAUGAAGCUCGUGACCCUCAGAACCCUCCCGAUCCUCCAAAUGAGUUUGGGAUAUUUAACAGCCUGUGGUUUUCCCUGGGUGCCUUUAUGCAGCAAGGAUGCGAUAUCUCUCCAAGGUCCCUGUCAGGCAGAAUAGUCGGAGGAGUCUGGUGGUUCUUCACUCUAAUCAUAAUCUCUUCCUACACUGCCAACUUGGCCGCUUUCCUUACCGUGGAGAGAAUGGUGUCCCCUAUUGAGAGUGCAGAGGACUUGGCCAAACAAACAGAAAUAGCUUAUGGUACUUUGGACUCAGGAUCAACCAAAGAAUUUUUUCGGAGAUCAAAAAUAGCAGUCUAUGAAAAAAUGUGGUCAUACAUGAAAUCAGCAGAGCCAUCUGUAUUUACCAAAACCACCGACGAUGGGGUGGCCCGGGUUCGGAAAUCAAAAGGAAAGUUUGCCUUCCUGCUGGAAUCUACCAUGAAUGAAUACAUUGAGCAGAGGAAGCCCUGCGAUACCAUGAAAGUUGGAGGAAACCUCGAUUCCAAAGGCUAUGGAGUGGCAACACCAAAAGGCUCAGCAUUAAGAAAUGCUGUUAACCUGGCAGUAUUAAAACUGAAUGAGCAAGGACUCUUGGACAAAUUGAAAAACAAAUGGUGGUACGACAAAGGAGAAUGCGGCAGCGGGGGAGGUGACUCCAAGGACAAGACAAGUGCCCUGAGUCUAAGUAAUGUCGCAGGGGUAUUCUAUAUACUGGUUGGAGGGCUUGGACUUGCCAUGAUGGUAGCUUUGAUAGAAUUCUGUUACAAGUCGCGAGCAGAGUCCAAAAGAAUGACACUCACCAAGAAUGCACAAAAUUUUAAGCCUCCUCCUGCAGCCAGCACCCAGAAUUAUGCUACAUACAGAGAAGGCUACAAUGUCUACGGAACAGAGAGCGUUAAAAUCUAAAGGGUACGACAAUGGUCACAAACAGAGAAAAAAGAGGAUUGCCUUUUUUUAAAGUCUGUUUAAAGGGGUUAUUACAAAGAAGAGCCAAUAGAUCAUACAGAACAGAAUGAGGCUCAUCCCUCGAUCCCAACCGCCUGAGCCAGUCCAACUCUUUCCCUGGUGUCGAGGAUGACACAAACUGCUGAUGGUGCAACAAACUCUUAGCGGAAAGAACUUUUUUUUUUGUUUUGUUUUCCUUCAGUGCCUUAAUGGAACAUUCUGAUGAUUCACAACAAUGCAAACCAUCACUGAAAUUCGAAUGCUUUGCUUCAAAAGAGAAAUAAAAAAAUGAAAUCUGAAACUGGCCACACCACAAGAUCCUCGUGUACAAAAAUGUGCUCUUGUAAAGGACAAGUUCUCUAUAAGCCAUCGUUUAAAUAACACUCUACAGGGCCUCAUGUACUCAAAUAUGCAUUUUUUUUUAAAGGUGCAUUCACUCCCAUGUUUAAAUAAUGUCCUUCCGCCCUAACCCGCAUCUCAUUUUUUCCUCUUGGAAGUUGCAUUGCUGUAUGUUUAACUCAAAACUGCUCGCAGCAACUUGCAUUAAAGAAGGAUGUUAAUGGCUUGCUAUCCGAAGCACUUACACUUUCAUAUUAUGGAUCAAAGAGUGAAGGAAAGGAUUACCGGAGUUAAAGAUGGGGUAGCCAGAAAAUAUCACCUGUAAUGUAGGAAAGAGUCUAAUAGUCUAAGAUCAGAACCUUACGAAUGCCUGUAAUAAAGAGAAGUCUUUAUGUAUGAGAAGAAUACAUUUGGAGUGAGUGCACUUUCAAGUUCACACGAAAUGAUACGUAAGAUACAUAGCGGAUGGCAAGGUGUUAGCAAUGCUCUUUUUACAAACAGUAUGAGGGAAAACAAUUAUUUUACUAAAAUGGGAUUUUACAGAAAUUAAUCAUUUCCAUGCCAGAACAUCCAUGCCAUGAAUGUAAUAUUUGUAUCAUGAAAAAUGCCAUUGGUUUCUAAGCAGCGUGGUCAGUUCCUAUAGUUACUGUACUGAUUGCAGUGAUUCCAUUGACCACUCAAAGGCAACAAAUGAGUCUCACAGUUUUCUGUGUUUUUUCUAGUCUUUAAUAACGGAAUUAUUCUAUUAAAGUACACAUUGUUGUUGUUGCUGCAGCAUGAGGCAAAAUAUAAUAAUGUUCAGAAGUUUACAUAUAUUGAACUGAAAUUGCAGCAGCCUGGGGAAACAAAGCUUUGCAAUUUUAAUCUUAGCACCUUUAGGGUCAUGCCACAUGGAGUGCUUUGGGCACUAUGAGCAGGCCAAAAAUACAGCGCCAAAGCGCCCAACUGACUUGCUUAAGAAACACCUGCAACUGCUUGUAUCAGUGUUUGGCGGUUGCUGUUUGCUGCAUUUAUGCCGCAACUAUUGUUUGCAGGUGACUCCCAUUCAAGUCAAUGGAGGCUACUAAAUACAUGGCUCUCAAUGUGCCCAAAAGUGCCCCCCGUGCCACAAACCUCAUGGAGAGUGGGGGUUCUUUAAAGUGAGCUUAUACCUAUAUAGCUGUGAGUAAUACAAAAUAAUCAUUCAGACUAGGCCAGCUUGUUCUUUAGUAAUGCACAUUUAUUUUAACUGAUUAAUUAGGGACGCUAUAAUAACGUUAGCUAGUCUGGGUAUUUGCAAAGGAGGACAUAACAGUUGUAGAUAUUUAUAUAGUAUAGAUGCAGCGAGUCCUCGGAAAUCUCAGUUUUCUUUUCCUUUUGUUAACUGGAACCAAUUAUUUAAAAGCAUAUUAAUACAGGUAUGGGAUCCGUUAUGCGGAAAGCUUCCGAAUUACUGGAAGAACAUCUCCCAUAGACUCCAUU